rnacentral:rRNA from 1 species
CUACGGGGGGCUGCAGUGGGGAAUAUUGCACAAUGGAGGAAACUCUGAUGCAGCAACGCCGCGUGGAGGAUGACACUUUUCGGAGCGUAAACUCCUUUUAUAUAGGAAGAAGAUGACGGUACUAUAUCAAUAAGCGCCGGCUAACUCCGUGCCAGCAGCCGCGGUAAUACGGAGGGCGCAAGCGUUACUCGGAAUCACUGGGCGUAAAGAGCGUGUAGGUGGAUUAAAAAGUCAGAAGUGAAAUCCUAUAGCUUAACUAUAGAACUGCUUCUGAAACUCUUAAUCUAGAAUAUGGGAGAGGUAGAUGGAAUUUCUGGUGUAGGGGUAAAAUCCGUAGAGAUCAGAAGGAAUACCGAUUGCGAAGGCGAUCUACUAGAACAUUAUUGACGCUGAGACGCGAAAGCGUGGGGAGCAAACAGGAUUAGAUACCCCGGUAGUC